CAGUAGCCGCGGUAAUACGUAGGUCCCGAGCGUUGUCCGGAUUUAUUGGGCGUAAAGGGAGCGCAGGCGGUUUAGUAAGUCUGAAGUUAAAGGCAUUGGCUCAACCAAUGUAUGCUUUGGAAACUGUUAGACUUGAGUGCAGAAGAGGAGAGUGAAAUUCCAUGUGUAGCGGUGAAAUGCGUAGAUAUAUGGAGGAACACCGGUGGCGAAAGCGGCUCUCUGGUCUGUCACUGACGCUGAGGCUCGAAAGCGUGGGUAGCGAACAGGAUUAGAUACCCCAGUAGUCCCUGUCUCUUAUACA
rnacentral:rRNA from 1 species